UUUUUUUUUUUUUUUUUUUUUUUUUUUUUUUUUUUUUUUUGUUCGCGAAUC
rnacentral:ribozyme from 13 species